CACUACCUACAUAGCGAGAGUACCACCGUCUGGCUUUUCCCAUCAAAGAGAACAAGAAGAGCUUCCACUUAAGGGUAACUUGCCUCAUCCCUUGGAUGUGAAUGCAUGAGCAAAGCUACUCGAAAUCACGUAGGUGAUUAUAGGGAUUUUCAUCUCCUUCUCCUGAAAAGGGAUUCUCCUGAACCAUCGCUCUGAGACUAUGGCGAAGCUCAUAACGAAUGGCCCA
rnacentral:lncRNA from 1 species